GACGAACGCUGGCGGCGUGCCUAAUACAUGCAAGUAGAACGCUGAAGAGAGGAGCUUGCUCUUCUUGGAUGAGUUGCGAACGGGUGAGUAACGCGUAGGUAACCUGCCUUGUAGCGGGGGAUAACUAUUGGAAACGAUAGCUAAUACCGCAUAACAAUGGAUGACACAUGUCAUUUAUUUGAAAGGGGCAAUUGCUCCACUACAAGAUGGACCUGCGUUGUAUUAGCUAGUAGGUGAGGUAAUGGCUCACCUAGGCGACGAUACAUAGCCGACCUGAGAGGGUGAUCGGCCACACUGGGACUGAGACACGGCCCAGACUCCUACGGGAGGCAGCAGUAGGGAAUCUUCGGCAAUGGGGGCAACCCUGACCGAGCAACGCCGCGUGAGUGAAGAAGGUUUUCGGAUCGUAAAGUUCCGUUGUAAGUCAAGAACGGGUGUGAGAGUGGAAAGUUCACACUGUGACGGUAGCUUACCAGAAAGGGACGGCUAACUACGUG
rnacentral:rRNA from 1 species